rnacentral:rRNA from 1 species
UACGGAGGGUGCGAGCGUUGUCCGGAAUCACCGGGCGUAAAGGGCGCGUAGGCGGCGCGGGUAGUCAUCGGUGAAAGUUCAGGGCUCAACUCUGAAUCGGCCGGUGAUACUCCCGUGCUCGAGCACUGUAGAGGCAGGUGGAAUUCCCGGUGUAGCGGUGAAAUGCGCAGAUAUCGGGAGGAACACCUAUGGCGAAGGCAGCUCGCUGGGACGUUACUGACGCUGAGACGCGAAAGCGUGGGGAGCGAACAGG